rnacentral:rRNA from 1 species
UACAGAGGGGGCAAGCGUUGUUCGGAAUUACUGGGCGUAAAGGGCGCGUAGGCGGCCUUCUAAGUCGAACGUGAAAUCCCUCGGCUUAACCGGGGAACUGCAUCUGAUACUGGAUGGCUGGAGAUUGGGAGAGGGAUGCGGAAUUCCAGGUGUAGCGGUGAAAUGCGUAGAUAUCUGGAGGAACACCGGUGGCGAAGGCGGCAUCCUGGACCGGUAUUGACGCUGAGGCGCGAAAGCCAGGGGAGCAAACGGG